ACACUGCUAUAUGGACAUACGGCCAAAUGCUCAGAGCCAUCAGUGUCCCUUUUGUAACUGAGUGUGAUUUGAGUGUUUCAGAAGUCAGAAGGCACAAGGUGGCUGUGGCUAACAGCAGGUCCUCCCCUGGCGCAUGGCUCUGGCUGCCAGUGUUAUUGAUUAGCCCACACUAACACUUCUGGAUGACUGCUAAGUCUCUGCUACAAAGCUAUGGAAAUAGUUUCUCAGCUCUAAUUUUCUUUUAUGGCCCUACCUUUCUUCUCAAGAUGUUUUUCUUCAGGGCCAGGAUGGCUAUUUGUAGUUUGUUUGUAUUUGGGUGAAAAGUCCUCCCUUAGAUUUUCUUUCAGAUACCUCUGGAGCAAAAGUAAAUGAUCGGGGCCUUUGGGUUGACCUCGAUAAGAAGAUAAAAGUAGCAUUCCCAAACCUGUCUGACCGUGGGUAACCAUUAACUGUCAAGCAGGAGAGGAAUUUCCCACGACCUCAGACUAUCACAGAAAUGGAGGCGCUAGGAGGAGUGCUGCCUUGCAGGAAUGACUCCAAACAGCAACAAAUGUUAUCAAGAGGGAGAGAUUGCAGCAACCCAGGCCUGUGUCAGCUGGAGACACAGCUUGUGUCCGAGGUCAACAAGAACAACUGGAGGCCAGGGAGGAGCCAGGAAGCUUUUCUGGCCCAGAAAAUUGAGAAGCAGGGUAUAAAGAUCAUAAGGAGGGCUUCCCUGUUUGUUUCUGUGUUGGUGAGACCCCACCAUGACAUCUCUCAAGUCGAACAGCCACCACUUUAAGAGAAACAUGGAGGCUUCAAAGCAAAACAAGAAUCACAAAGAUGAAGGUGGUGUUUUUGUUUUGUUCUGAAAAAGAUUAGACGAUGGAAUUACAGAAAGGAUGAUAAUAGAGAAAUGGCCAACAGCACACAGAACGUCAACCACAAACCAAGAUGAAUCCGACUUAACCUGCAUCGUGAAGUCCUGCCACCGGCAGACGUCAGGUUUAUUAAUCAUUAAAAUGAGUUGCCUGUGAGGACGUCCAAUUUCCUGUUCUGAAAGUAUAAUUUAUUACUACAGAAAUAUGCUUCCGGGUUUGUGAAUAUUGACAACAAGCAUCGCAGGGUUUUUCUUUUCUUUUUUCAUUUAUUUUUAUUUAUCUAUGUGUGUGAACUCUGGGUGAGUGUGUGCUACAUGUGUGUAUGCCCAGGAAAGUCAGAUUAGUGCCUCAGAUCAUAUGGAACUGGAGUUAGAGGUGCUAAGGGCAGAACACAGGUCCUCUGGGAGAGCGAUAAGCACUCUUAGCUACUGAGUCAUCUUGCUAAGCACUAGGGCAAAGUUUUAAGAUGUUAGAGACUAAGUUAUCCACAGCCGAGAAAAGUGAGGAAUUCAUCUUACUCCAAAAUGCAAAGCAAAGGACUUUGAGGUAAGGCCGAUGACUGGCUAGGCAAGAUUAGAAUGUUACUUUUCCGUGCACAGGGAAAGAGGGAUGUGCUAUGUUUAUAACUGGGAACUCUCCGCUGUGUUUAUAUUCUUGUCUGUGUGCUUACAGUAUCUCUUCAAGGGCAGAAGCAAUCUGGAAAGAAAGAGUAACAAUGUUGAAUCAAAAACAAAGUUGUCUCUUAACUAGCUCAUGGAACAGGCAGGAAGAAGCCCAACAGCUGAGAAAUGAGCCUCCCGAAUUUUCAAACCGAUGCUCACCUAGAGGAGUAAGUUCAUUUAAAGACAUUUGAAAUCGAGGUACGUUUGUUUAAGAUUAAGCAGAUUGGGGGUGGGGGGGGACUAACAAUGGAUUAAGAGGUCUAGAGAGGUGGCUCAGUGGUUAAAUCACUCUCUUAACCACACCCAGAGGACCAAGCCAGCACGCACAUAACCACCUAUCAUCCUCACAACCACCUAUCACUCCAGGAGAUGCAGUGUGCACGCAUGCGAGCACGCGGGAGCCUGCCUCAAAUGAAAAGGAUGAGGAGGUGGAGUAACACCUCAGGGGUUAAGAGUCCGUACUGCUCUUGCAAAGGAUUCUAAGUCGGUUCCCAGCACACAUGUUGGAUGGCUCCCAUUGCUUGCGACUCUCACUCCAGGGAAUCUGACCCCUCUCAUGUACAUAUAUAUUCCCACAUAAACACAUAACUUAAAAUUUUAUCUUUUAAAAAAAGGAGGAGUGUCUCAAUCAUGGUUUCUAUUCCUGCACAAACAUCACAACCAAGAAGCAAGUUGGGGAGGAAAGGGUUUAUUCAGCUUACACUUCCACAUUGCUGUUCAUCACCAAAGGAAGUCAGGACUGGAACUCACGCAGGUCAGGAAGUAGGAGCUGAUGCAGAGGCCAUGGAGGGAUGUUUCUUACUGGCUUGCUUCCCCUGGCUUGCUCAGCUUGCUCUCAUAGAACCCAGAACCACCAGCCUAGGGUCAGCACUACCCACAGUGGGCGGGGCCUUUCCUCUUGAUCACUAACUGAGAAAAUGCCUUAGAGCUGUUCUCAUGGAGGCAUUUCCUCACGGGAGGCUCCUUUCUCUGUGAUAACUCCAGCUUAUGUCAAGUUGACACACAGAACCAGCCAGUACAAGGGGUAAACUGGGAAAGGGGGUAGUAUUUGAAAUGUAAAUAAACAAAACGAUCAAUAAAAAAUGAAAAAUAAAGUAUAAAUAAAUAAAUGAAAAAAAGGAUGAACUGGGUGUGGUGGUAUAGACAGAUAGAAGGAUGGAUGGAUGGAUGGAUGGAUGGAUGGAUAGAGGGAGGGAGAGAGAGAAUAAGAAAGGGAUUAGGACCCACAGCACCAAGUACUACGGCAGACUCAAUUUUAUCAUGCUUCAUUUCAAACUUUAUACUUUUUUUUUUAAUAGUAAAACCAGAAUAUAGCCCUUGGGACUUAAAAAGUUGAAGUUGUGUUAUGCAAGGAAGUUGCAAUUCCACGGGUCCUGAGGGCCAUUUGAGGAAUGGUAAAAUCUGAUUUGCAUAUGACAGGAAUGCUUCCAGGACUGGAUAGUCUGGAUGAUGCCUACAGUCAUAAGGACCAUAGACACAGCUUAACUCAAGGCCAGCUUGUACCCCAGAUGCCAGACAUGGAGUUUAAAGAUUUAAUGUUUUGUCUGGCUAGGUUUCGAGCCUGCUCUCAUUUGACUUUCACUAUUUUCUUUUGGAGUAGGAUUGCUUAUCUUGAACCACUGUGUCUUGGAUGUAUGUAACUUCUUUUUACAUUUCCGGGUGCUCAUAAUUAAUAGUUUGCCUUGAGUAUCAGAGGAGAAUUUGGACUGGUUGUUUGUUUUGUUUUGUUUUGAGCAAUAGUGGAGCAGUUGAAACUUUGGAUAUGCUUAGGGACAGACUUAAUUCUUUUUGCAUGGUAAGACCAACAAGAAACUGUGGGUGCCUGAGGUGGAAUGCAGUGGUUUAGAUCUGGAAUAUUAGUCAUAGCUUCAUGUGUUGAAGACUUACUUUCGUUCUUACCUUGGCAAUAGUGAAAGGUGGUAGCCUCUUCGAAAAACAAGACUUGGUAGGGCUUUAUAACACUGGGGACAUGUUUUUGGAGAGAACUGUAGAUUGUUAGUCUGUUUUGGCUUGUGGCCAACAUGAAGUAAACUCUGCCACAUGCUCCCAUCAUGAGCCGUUGCUUUACCACAGGCCCAAAGAAGUGGGGUGAAGCAAACACAGACUUAAAUGUUGAGGAAGUAUGGACCCAAACAAGUCUUUUCUCUUUGGAACUUAGUUGGCAAUACUAGAAAAAUGAGUAUCACGAAGUGAUGGGUGUGAGGGGUGCAGUACAGAAGACGUGAGGGACAGGUCUUUUACAAUGUUGUAUUAGUUUGCUUUUGUCAACUUGACACAAACUAGAAUCACCUUCAGAAAAGGAAUCUCAACUGAGGACUUGUUUCUAAUGCUUGUGGGCAUGUCUGUGAGACAUUUUCUUGACUAUUAGUUGGUAUGGGAGGACUCAGCCUACUCUGAGCAGUACUACCGGGGGCAGGUAGUCCUAAGGUGCAUUUAAAAAUUUGUGUAAGCCACAAAAAGCAAAUCAGUGAGCAGAGGUUGCUGCCUCCGUCCCUGCUUUGAUUUCUUGCCCAGAUUACCCUAGGUGAGGAACUGUUACCUGGAACUGUUAAGAUGAAAUAAACCCUUUCCUCUCCAAGCUGCUUUGGGUCCAUGUUUAUCACAGCAACAGAAACCAAAUGAAUACAGAGGUAAUUUCAACCCUAGAACAGACAAUGAUGAGCAUCUAGGAGAACCCUACAGCUGCGAGAUGAGCAUUAAAAGGGAACCAAUCGAUGUGUGAGAUUCUUCUCAUGGGUUUAACAUACCUAGGAGACUAUUUAGAUGAGAAGAAAAUAUGGAAAUGAUGCUGUUGAAAGUUAUGGCUGUAUCAGGCUGUCAUCACCAUUGACAAAAACAGUAUAGAAUGAAAAGGAGAAUCAGGGGAACCAUAAUGACAUUAGUCGAAGCUAUUUGAGAUUUGAAGUAGAAAUAUUCAUGUGUCCAUCAAAAAUGUUGUUGUCUCAAGGGCAAAGAUGUACCAGGUAGUACAUAUGUCAGUGAGAGCCUAAACAAUGGAAGUCGAUGGAUGAACCUUUGUGUGAAAUGUUGGUUCUAAACCAGGUUCCAAUAGACGAGGACCCACUGGUAACUAUGGCAUCCAGUGAUUUUUUUUAAAAAAAUCUGAUAUUUAAUUGAUGCUUACACAUUUCACUAUGGGGCAGACUGCCUGAGAAUGGCACCAGUGAUUAGCCUUCUGUGUCUCGGGACACGCCAUAAGCUUACUAGAAUGAAGAGACAUGGCCCACUCCUGAAGAGUCCGAUUCAAUGGACUGCCAGAGUGUUCAGGAAUAGGCAAUUUAGAAAGCAACUACAGCCUGGGUGUGGUGAAUGUGUGACUGAGCCCGGUGCUAAGGAGGCUAGAGUGAGUUCUAAGGCCAGCAGUGUAGACUCCUCCGUAAGGUCUUGGUUCAAAUAGGAGGAGGGGGAGGAGAACAGAAAACAACUUGAUGCUUGUUAUACAUAAUGGAGUCCGUAAAGUUCUUUCUUAAAACUGUGUGUGUGUGUAUGUGUGUGUGUCUGUGUAUUUGUGUGUGGGUGUAUGUAUGUGUGCAUGUGUGUGUAUGUGUGUGUAUGUGUGUGUUGUGUGUGUGUUUGUGUGUGUAUGUGUGUGUAUGUGUGUAUGUGUGUGUAUCUCUGUAUGUGUGUGUGUGCAUGGGUGUGUGUGUCUGUGUGUAUGUGUGCAUGUGUGUAUGUGUGUGUGUUUGUGUGUGUAUGUGUGUAUGUGUGUAUGUGUGUAUGUGUUUGUGUGUGUAUAUGUGUGUAUGUGUGUGUGUGUAUGUGUGCAUGUGUGUAUGUGUGUGUGUCUGUGUAUUUGUGUGUGUGUGUUUGUGUGUGUGUAUGUGUGGUGUUUGUGUGUGUAUGUGUGUAUGUGUGUGUUUAUGUGUGUAUAUGUGUGUGUUUAUGUGUGUAUAUGUGUGUGUAUGUGUGUGUUUAUGUGUGUAUAUGUGUGUGUUUAUGUGUGUAUAUGUGUGUGUAUGUGUGUGUAUGUGUGUGUGUUUGUGUGUGUAUGUAUGUGUGUGUGUUUGUGUGUAUGUGUGUGUGUUUGUGUGUGUAUGUGUGUAUGUAUGUGUGUGUGUUUGUGUGUGUAUGUGUGUGUUUUUGUGUGUGUAUGUGUGUAUGUGUGUAUGUGUGUGUGUGUGUGUGUGUGUGUGUUGCCCACCGAGGUUAGAAUUGGGCAUUGGAUCCCCUGGAGCUGGAGUUUAAAGCAGUUAGAAGCCGAACAGAGCUCAGAUUCUCUAAAGAACAGCAAGUCCUCUUAACCGCUAGGCCAUCUCUCUGGCCGCCAAGUUUUGUGGAGUUCUUUUGGGGAAAGGGGAUAACAUCUGAAAUGUAAAUACCUAAAUAAUCCAAUAUAAAUAAAUAAAUAAAUAAAUAAAUAAAUAAAUAAAUAAAUAAAUCUAAUCAAAAGGAAGGCCCAAACUAGACUUAGAAUUUCACAUUGUGAAUCUUGCUAUCACAGUGGCUAUGUUAAACUUCUCUUAGAAUAUUUUCUUUUAGCUUAAAAUUUCAACCUCCUAAUUAUUUCUCCAGAACAGUUUAUUUGUCCCUAGGCUUAAUAGGGAGACAAGAACGAUGAAAGCUAGAGACAAAACUAUCAGUGGGAAACAGCUGGGCACAAACUUUGACAAUGAUCACUUUUAAAGGUCAGCCAUACAUUUUAGAGAAAAUCCUAAAGUGGCCAUCAGAAAUCCUAUACUGUAUAACAUUAUCGUUGAUAUCGGGUGAGGCCUUGUCCUCUGCGUGCUGUUGAUGGAACGCAGCACCUUGCACUAGGUGAGCAUUCUACCACUGAACUGCACGGCCAGUCCUUCCAAUGGUUUCAUAUCUCUACGCUUCUGGUUUCCCAUUUCUCUCAAGACAGGAUUAGGAUAAGAAAAUCUCUCGAGUUUAGGUAAGAUUAAUGUGUGCCCUCUUCAUUUGUGUUGAGACAAGAGAGUAGUGGUUAGCCAUUUUACCCACACGAAAUGGCAAUUUCUUGUGGCUCAACGUCUCUAAAGUAGGGAUGGCCCAUUAGCAAUACUUGAUCUAUGACCAUUCUUUCGGUGGGCUUCCUUCGUUGUUUUCCUUCUCGCUGUAGUCUCUCCGUGGCCACGAGCAGAUUUUCCUGUGCAUACUUCGAAGCUCUGUGGCUCAAAGGUCGAUUUCUUUUUUCUACCUCUAAGUUUAAAAGUCCCAGAAAGGCGCUGAGCAUAUCCUCACCUCAGACAAGCAUUCUUAGUAGAGUGCCAUUAUUGGCUCGAACUGCCUCACUCUCCUACCGUAGUGACUGAUAGGAUAGAAUUAGAAGUCUGUGUACGUGAGUUCCUGAAUUUGGUUUCUCUAAAACGGCUUGUUAUGCAGGACAUGGUAUUGAAUGCCUUUAAUUCCAGCAUUUGAGGAGGCACAGGCAGACAGAUUUCUGAGGGUUUGAGGCCAGCCUGAUCUACAUAGUGAGACCCUUUCUCAAAAUAAGCAAAUAAAAUCUUUUUAAAAAGCAUUUCAUGCUGGGCAUGACAGUGUAUGUCUGCAUUCCUAGCACUCUGGGGUUGUUCAAGGCUAGUCUGAGAUGUAAAGUAGUAUGGCCCUGUCUCAAACAAAACAAAGAAUUGUGGAGCUGGAAGGACAAACCCAUAGCAAACCAGUUGCUAACUCCACUGUUUAUAUUCUGCUGCAUGUGUGGCAAUUUAAAAUAUAUUCCACUGUAGAGGAUGAGGCAUGGUUUGGUGGAUAGAGUGCUUGUCACGUUCAGGACUUGAAGCUGAAACAUCGGGACCUACAUAGAAACUGAAUUUAUAACAUGAACAUCCGUGAUCCCAGCACACCCCUACAGAGAGAUGGGAGAGAGAAACAGGAGGAGUCUGAGAAGCUCAGUAGCCAGUUAACCUGGCCUAGACAACAGAAAAAUGACACCAUGACUCAAAUAAGGGAGGCUGUGAGGACUGAUGUUUGAGGUUGUCAGGUUACCCUCUGACCUCCUGCCAUAUGGCUGCUGUGGUAUCUAUGCACAAACACACACACACACACACACACACACACAUGCACGCACGCACACACACAUGCAUACACACACAUACACAGGCGCGCACGCGAACACACACACACACACACACACACACGCACACACACACACCCAGGCACACACACAGGCAUACACACGGGCACACACACAACACACAACACACACAACACACAACACACACACUACACACAUACAACACACACACACAGGUGCACACACACAGGCACACACACGCACACGCACACAUAUGUCAAAUACAAACACACAUUCACACUCCAUUAUUGAGAGGAGACACUAUCAUUAGACUGAAUUAAGCCACAAGGAAGAUUUGGAUUCAAACUUUAGAAUCCAAAAUCCACCUAGAAGCCAUUUUCCCUUUCUGAAUCUAUUUUUUUCAUCUGAUAAAUGUAUUAUAAAUACAUCAAAGGGCUAUUAUGGGAUUAUAUGAAACUGUGUGUCUAGAACUACUUUGAAAUCAUACAGAUCCAUGACUUAAGAGAGCUCCCAUUCAGUGAACGGAGUGCCCGCUGUGGGUUGCGAACUCUCCUAGGUGCUAGGGACGCCGACAUGACUACAAUGGGAUAUUUUUGCCCUCAUGUCUUACAGGUCCUUGUUAACAUCCAGUACGUAAAUAGGCUCAGUACAUCUUAGCUUGCUAAGUCUUUAAAAUAGAUCAAGUAGUUGAGAAUUGGGUCAGAGGUUAUAUUAGUUUAAGAAACAUGGGGCUAGACUGUAUCUUGUAGAGAUGAUAGUCAAAAUUUGAGUGUAAAAUGAGCCACGUGAAGAAAGCCUUCCGUUUUGCUAUCACUUCAUGAGAUUGUUUUUUAUUCUGUUCACCUCUUAAACAAAUGGUUUCCUCUUUAGACAGGUAACAAUGACGGCCUGUCUGGCAUCUCUCUUUACAUGAGGUCCCAUGGCUUCCGAGGAGAAUGCGUCACAUUUCUCUAUACACAGUUAAACCGGAAUGUAGCAGUUCUUACCAUCUCCCUCCCCCCUUCCCCUACCACCCCCGAUUUCCUUCAAUUUCAUCUCAUUUUCCAAAAGAACUCAAUUUUUAACAUGUUAGUUUUUGUUUUUAAUCUUUUCUGAGUAUAAUUCUCUUAUAAAACUAUGUCAUCCUCCUCAAAGUUCUGCUUUGAGAAGGAGCUGAUAACGCUGAGACCUAAGAAGUUAUUUUAUGAUUCUUUAACCAUUAAAUCUAAAGGGGCCCCCCUUCGUUUCUGUCAGUCUCUCUGACUUCUGUGAUUUGAAUUUUUUACGAAGCCUCUUAAACCACAUUUUCAACUAGAUCUUACAGGUUUAAAGAUGAUUAAACAAUAAACCAUAAUUGACUUUUUCAGAAAUACCUAUCAAAAGUAUUUGCUUGCCUGUGCAAUGUAUUUACAUGGCAAUUACAUACAUUUGAGGUCCAAACUGAACAUAUUGUAUUAAGUUCCUCCCUACGCCAGAACGAUGUGAAAUUCCCAAACCUGGAGCUACUUAGUGAUAUGAUCCCCACUACUGUGAAGGCACUGGCCAUCGGCCAUUCAGAGAACCGUCCUAACUUCCUAACACACUUCUCUUGAAAUUCACCAACAGGUUUUAAUUGUUCAUUUCUUUCCUCAACAAAUAUUUGUUGAAGGCCUGUUCUAUGCUAGGUGAGAUCCUUGGGUGGGUGCAUAUACAAUUAUUAAGGCAAAUUCUUCACCCUCAAAGUCAUUAUAAAGCAAUACAGAGAAUGGAGAACUAAAGGCAAGUAUAAUACAGGAUAUAUGGUGAAUUUGGAGAAGGAUACUUUUCUCCAUCUGCUUGUUCAUUUGGGAUUGUUUUUGCCUACUCCAUUGAACUGUGAGGUGUAUGUGGUCUUUGUUACUUUGUGGGUUCUUCUUUUUUCCACCCUCUAUCCCUCCCCCCAUUUUCACCCCCUAUCAUUGGAUAGGUGAGAAUGAAGAAUAGAAGAGAGAGAUCUAUGAAUAUAAGUUCUUUCUUCUUAUUUCUUCUUGACCACGACUACUAACAAACUACAACCAACCUCCACGAAUGGUCAACAGCCAUCGAUCCACCUCUCCAGGUUUUAGCAUUUAUAUACCCUCUGAAAAGUUUCCAGAAUUCUAAACAUUACACAAUCACAGAAACAAUCUGCAGCUGGCAAAAAUCAUGCCUCAACUAGAGAACUAGGCAAAUCAUAGUCUGCUGAUUUGGACAGUCCAAAGCGGCCCCAUAUCCCCACACCUAGUAUUAAAAUGAAAGAACAUUCUUAGACUAUUUCUGUGAUUUUUUUAAAGAAACCAAAAUCCCAGAAUUGUCACUAGAAAAGGGGUUAAUAAUAUUGGUUCAGAAAUGGCCAUAUAAUUUUUUUAAAGGAGGUGUUAUUAUUUGUCCCACCAAAAGCUCAAAAUUAAAGGCUUGAUUGCCAAUCUGUGGUACCAUUGGGAGGUGGUGACACUUGAAGAGGUGGGCCCUUAAAGUGGGCAUCCUAGUCUCUGUUCUCUCUCUCUCUCUCUCUCUCUCUCUCUCUCUCUCUCUCUCUCUCACUCCAUGAGGAGAGUGGCCUUACUCUUACCAUAUGUUCUUUGUAUUACAGGUUUCAUCAUAGACUUGUGACCACGAACUACGUCCUUCAAAACUGUGAGCCAAGACAGGAACCUAGCAUAACUGUCUCCUGAGAGGCAGCCGAUGGAAACUGAUGCAGAGACCCACAGCCAAACAUCAAGCUGAACUCUGGAGUCUUGAGGAUAAGUGAGGGAUAGAAUUGAGCCAGCCAGAAUGGUCAAGGACACCACAAGAAGACCUACAGAGUCAACUCACCUUCAUAGGGGGAGUAGCAGGGUGAAGGAUUUGUAAGGGUGGGACUGGGGGGAAAGGGGGGUUGCAAUAGGAAUGUAAAGUGAAUAAAUAAGAAAAA